UAUGACGCACUAAGAUCGAUUUCCGGGUCACGGGUCGGAAACUCGGAAUAGUGAAACGAGAUGAGCUUUCUACGAGCAGGAUGUUGGCGACAGUGAAAAGGAAAAACUUGAUUUUUAACAGGAAGAGAGCUGCAGCCGAACCAGGCUCAGGGAGGGCGGACAUCUGCCUCAACUGGAUUAGUCUCCAGACAAAUGCAAGGAAACCUACAAAAUGUUCAUCCAUCGUGCCCCAGCAGUCUGAUUGGAGACGUGAGCAGAGGGAUGAUGAGAGGGAUUCAGCUGUUGUGUUCCUUUUUUGAUGCGUAAGUAGCAUUGAGAUGUCUCAAACCGCACCAAAUACAGCCUUAGCAUAGACUUUACAGUCGCUCUGGCAGUGCGAUGACAGCUCCUCCAUGCAUAAUUAUAGCCGCCACAUAUGAUAAACAUG